UAAUACAUCGGAACGUGUCCCGUAGUGGGGGAUAGCCCGGCGAAAGCCGGAUUAAUACCGCAUAUGCUCUACGGAGGAAAGUGGGGGACUCGCAAGGGCCUCACGCCAUGGGAGCGGCCGAUGUCCGAUUAGCUUGUUGGCGGGGUAAUGGCCCACCAAGGCGACGAUCGGUAGCUGGUCUGAGAGGAUGAUCAGCCACACUGGGACUGAGACACGGCCCAG
rnacentral:rRNA from 1 species